GUGGGGAAUAUUGGACAAUGGGGGGAACCCUGAUCCAGCCAUGCCGCGUGUGUGAAGAAGGCCUUUUGGUUGUAAAGCACUUUAAGCGAGGAGGAGGCUACCGAGAUUAAUACUCUUGGAUAGUGGACGUUACUCGCAGAAUAAGCACCGGCUAACUCUGUGCCAGCAGCCGCGGUAAUACAGAGGGUGCAAGCGUUAAUCGGAUUUACUGGGCGUAAAUCGCGCGUAGGUGGCCACUUAAGUCAAAUGUGAAAUCCCCGAGCUUAACUUGGGAAUUGCAUUCGAUACUGGUUGGCUAGAGUAUGGGAGAGGAUGGUAGAAUUCCAGGUGUAGCGGUGAAAUGCGUAGAGAUCUGGAGGAAUACCGAUGGCGAAGGCAGCCAUCUGGCCUAAUACUGACACUGAGGUGCGAAAGCAUGGGGAGCAAACAGGAUUAGAUACCCUUGUAGUCC
rnacentral:rRNA from 1 species